rnacentral:rRNA from 1 species
AUGUUCCAGGAGCUUGCUCCACAUGACCCACACGACAAGUGUGGUCACCACUAUGCAAUCUGCCUUGACCUGAAGAACCAACGUUUUGAGGUGCUUGAUUCAAUGCAUUCGGCAGCUGAUGCAGACCUUACUACGCAUGCUGAGUACUUCAUCAACAACCUCAAAGAGACUUGGAACUGUCACUACGAACACUCAAAGGUCCAGAUCACACAUUUUCCAAUUGAGUACGUGGCGACUACGAAGCAAGGGAAUAAGGAAUUUCCACGGACUGUGUCUUUCACAUGUUGGAAUACCUUGCAAAGUGGGAAGGUAGACUAG